AACGAACGCUGGCGGCAUGCCUAACACAUGCAAGUCGAACGAGACCUUCGGGUCUAGUGGCGCACGGGUGCGUAACGCGCGGGAUCCUGCCCCUAGGUUCGGAAUAACUCCCCGAAAGGGGUGCUAAUACCGGUUAAUGUCUUCGGACCAACGGUUUAUCGCCUUUGGAUGGGCUCGCGUUGGAUUAGCUAGUUGGUAGGGUAAAAGACUACCAAGGCGACGAUCCAUAGCCGGUCUGAGAGAAUGAUCAGCCACACUGGGACUGAGACACGGCCCAGACUCCUACGGGAGGCGGCAGUGGGGAAUGUUGGACAAUGGGCGAAAGCCUGAUCCAGCAAUGCCGAGUGAAUGGUGAAGGACUUAGGGUUGUAAAGCUCUUUUACCCGAGAUGAUAAUGACAGUACCGUGCGAAUAAGCUCCGGCUAACUCCGUG
rnacentral:rRNA from 1 species